rnacentral:rRNA from 1 species
UCGAGCGAACAGACGAGGAGCUUGCUCCUCUGACGUUAGCGGCGGACGGGUGAGUAACACGUGGAUAACCUACCUAUAAGACUGGGAUAACUUCGGGAAACCGGAGCUAAUACCGGAUAAUAUAUUGAACCGCAUGGUUCAAUAGUGAAAGACGGUUUUGCUGUCACUUAUAGAUGGAUCCGCGCCGCAUUAGCUAGUUGGUAAGGUAACGGCUUACCAAGGCAACGAUGCGUAGCCGACCUGAGAGGGUGAUCGGCCACACUGGAACUGAGACACGGUCCAGACUCCUACGGGAGGCAGCAGUAGGGAAUCUUCCGCAAUGGGCGAAAGCUUGACGGAGCAACGCCGCGUGAGUGAUGAAGGUCUUCGGAUCGUAAAACUCUGUUAUUAGGGAAGAACAAAUGUGUAAGUAACUAUGCACGUCUUGACGGUACCUAAUCAGAAAGCCACAGCUAACUACGUGCCAGCAGCCGCGGUAAUACGUAGGUGGCAAGCGUUAUCCGGAAUUAUUGGGCGUAAAGCGCGCGUAGGCGGUUUUUUAAGUCUGAUGUGAAAGCCCACGGCUCAACCGUGGAGGGUCAUUGGAAACUGGAAAACUUGAGUGCAGAAGAGGAAAGUGGAAUUCCAUGUGUAGCGGUGAAAUGCGCAGAGAUAUGGAGGAACACCAGUGGCGAAGGCGACUUUCUGGUCUGUAACUGACGCUGAUGUGCGAAAGCGUGGGGAUCAAA